AAUGAAAGAAGUAGAUACUUUUGAAAGAAUCAAAAAAGAAUGGGCUUGGAAAACAGGAUCUGACAGCCAACCUAUAAGUGAUAAUCAAAAAUGAAUUGUGAAUAUUUUAUAAAUGGCCUUUAGAGGAAGCUCAGAAGAUGGGUGCUAGCUGCUUGUCACUCACAUAACAUGAUUGGUAAAUGUCAGUAUAAAAUUAUGAGAAGACGAAUUAUCAAUCACUAAUGACUUCAGACAUUAUUCUGAUGUUGCAAGUUAGAAAUUUCUGAAAUCUAUUAUAAAAGAGAUUUACUUUUUAAAACUACGGGAGAAUUUUUGAUAAAGAGAAUGUGGAUGCUAAAGUUGAAGAUAAAAAAAAUAAUGAAGUGUGUUUGUCUAUGAAGCCUGUAUUCCAGUCCUUCUUAGGAAGAAAUCACAGACUGGGAAGUGCCACGUGGAAAAUAUCUUUAAAGCAAAGAGUAGUGAAGAUGAGAAUAAAAAUGAUCUGUCUGUUGUCCCACUAAGCAAUCUGGAACCCAUCACUGCAUUACAGAUCUGGCUAGCCAACUGGAAAGGGAUCAUCCAGAAAGCAAAUACUUCUCACAGGCACUUAUAGGUAUACAUUUCUCUAAGCAUUGCUUGGGCUGCAUCCCGCAAGUUUUGGGUAAAGAACAUCAAAAACUUCACUGGAAAUUGCCAAGGGUCUCAAAAAACUCUUCCUUUUCCCUGGCACCAGGUCUUAUUUUACUCGAAUUGCAAGAGGAAAUAUUCACACUGGAAGAAGCAGGUUUACACAAUACUGUGAUCAGAGACUCUAAAGACACAAAUAUUUUACAUAACUCCCAUA
rnacentral:lncRNA from 1 species